GCAGUGAUUGACCACCUGGUGGGAAGGCUGGGCCAAUUUAGGGGAGCUCAGGUGCAUGCAGCGCAUAUGCAAUGCACCUGAGACCAGAAGGGAUCCUGGCUCCACCCCUUCCCAGACCUCACGUAAGGGUUAGCAGUGGAGGCAAAGGCCUCUUACUGGAGGUUCCCGUGUAUCUGAGGCCUUCUGGAGGUGAAAGCCUCCACCAACAGGAAUGUGAAGCUGGUGCCUUUUAAAGCCUCUGGAAGAGCGCUCUGCCCUGUGCUUCAUUGCUUUUGAUGACAACAUGGGAACUCCUGCCAUUCUGAUUUGAAGUGUCAAGGAAAAGCAAUUCCUGUGAUACUGGUGCUCUUGCUCUUUCAUAGCUUCCUGCCAUGAUGUGUGAGGUCCAACUGAUCCUGGAGCUUUCACUCAGAGUGGGGAUUUAGGGCCAGGAGAGCCCCUGAGAGAGAGAGGUGUUACACAGAACAAUUAGGGAGUCAAAGCCCACUGUGGAUCUGUGGAGGUUCAUGAUGUGAUUCCUUACCAAAGUGAACUAAAUCAGAGCAAGCAGAUUAAAACCUGUAUGAAGAUCAGACAUAGGCCCCAUGUGGGAAAACACAAAACACUUUAGACAAUUGUGUGGAGGGCAGGGAACAGAAAAAGGUAAUAUUCUGCCUGACAGUGGUCUUGAUAACCUGGCAAACAAGGUGAAAACUGGGAAUAUAAACAUCCUGUUUUAAAAAACAACAACAACAAAAACAAAACAAAAAAACCCUGAAAAACAGACAAUCUCUUGACAUUUACGAAAGACUUGAUCUUCUAAUGAAAUUAAAUACUGAGGAAAACCUAACAUAUCUGAACAGUGCUUGUAGAGACACCCUGGGGAAGGAAGACAACUCCAAGAGUAUUAUAAAAGCCAUCCUCUUGCAGUGCAAGAGGAAGAGGAUUGCAGACUUCAAAAGUUGAACUGGAGGAACCGCUUAGAAGGACAACAUUUAAUUCUUUCCUGUCAUGUCAGUGAUCUAUAUGCUGAGGACAUAAUUUAUUCCUGAAAAAUGCUCCUACAGGAGAAGGGACAUGGGCGUUAAUCUCACAUAGAUCAAGGGAAUGCUUUGGAAAUGCAUCACAAGUAUCCUGAGGUUUAGAUUCUAGAAACAAAUUCUUCUUUGAGAAAAAGACCCUUGAGCUGGACUUAAUCCACAGUACUGCCACUCAGGGACCAACUGUAAUCUGUUUAGGCCCAUAUCUUGUAUUUACAAGUACCAGAAUCAAAUACCGACAGUACUCAGUAGUGCAUAAUUAAAUUCUUACUCCCCUCUGAAGUCAUUGGCAAAACUUCCACUGACUUCAAUAGUGCUGGAUUAAGCCUUAACAGAAUAUCAUGAGAAUUUGAAAAGCAAAUUGGAUCCAAAUUUUGCAAAUGGUUACUUGUCUCUUUUGUGGAUCAAACCAUAUCUAAAAAAAAAUCAACGUUACUGUGAAUGAAAUCAGGAUAUGUAUUCAUAGUGUGUGUUCUGAAUGCUUUUACAGAAGUUAUACAAAAUUGAGUCACUUAGGGGACUGCAGCAAUAAUAAGAGUUGUGUAAAUACCAUGUAGCAAAAAUAUUCCAUGGUUAGCCUGUUCUUUUUGGCACAAUCCAUCUGGCAGAAACUUAUACAUUUAUUUUGUUGUUUCUCAUGGGCUCAUGGUGAAUAAUUUCUGCUCUGCAGAUGGUUGUGAUGUGGAUGAUUCUUUAAGUCCAGUUUCAAGCUUUAGCUCUGUGGCUUAAAGUAACAAACUGUAUUCCGAUGACAGGAUCUCUGAGAAGCUGAUUUUCAAUAUUAAUUUUGAAAUAAAUUCCAUUGCUUUAUAGGUAUAUUUCUCAAUAUUAGUUUACAGUUUUAAAACUGGCAAGAAGUGAGUUCCUGAGCAUAGAUGAAUUGUCCCCUGCCAUUCACAGUAUACUAUUUGAGCUGAAGUUGCAGAAAUUUUUCAAAAUGGUUACACUGCAGAGAUUCCUUUCUUUUUUUACGAAUAAUUUCAUUUUACUAUAAAAGUAAUACUAAAACAGAUUCACUAAACAAGACUAUCCUGAUGUAGAAAUGCCAAGCUAGAAAUGCAUGGAAUGGAAGGUGACCUGAAUUUGCCUCGAUGGCUUAAGAGGAUAUUAUUCUGGCACUCACUGGAUAGGUAUUUGUCAAUAAAUGUUGUUCCCAAACUUC